rnacentral:rRNA from 1 species
AGCGAACGCUGGCGGCAGGCCUAACACAUGCAAGUCGAGCGAAGUCUUCGGACUUAGUGGCGGACGGGUGAGUAACACGUGGGAACGUGCCUUUAGGUUCGGAAUAACUCAGGGAAACUUGUGCUAAUACCGAAUGUGCCCUUCGGGGGAAAGAUUUAUCACCUUUAGAGCGGCCCGCGUCUGAUUAGCUAGUUGGUGAGGUAAAGGCUCACCAAGGCUACGAUCAGUAGCUGGUCUGAGAGGAUGACCAGCCACAUUGGGACUGAGACACGGCCCAAACUCCUACGGGAGGCAGCAGUGGGGAAUUGUGCGCAAUGGGCGAAAGCCUGACGCAGCCAUGCCGCGUGGAUGAUGAAGGUCUUAGGAUUGCAAAAUCCUUUCACCGGUGAAGAUAAUGACUGUAGCCGGAGAAGAAGCCCCGGCUAACUUCGUGCCAGCAGCCGCAGUAACAC